rnacentral:rRNA from 1 species
UUUAAAAUGAGAGUUUGAUCCUGGCUCAGGACGAACGCUGGCGGCGUGCCUAAUACAUGCAAGUCGAAC